UACGAAGGGGGCUAGCGUUGUUCGGAAUUACUGGGCGUAAAGCGCAUGUAGGCGGCGAUUUAAGUCGGGGGUGAAAUCCCAGGGCUCAACCCUGGAACUGCCUUCGAUACUAUUUUGCUAGAGUACGGAAGAGGUAAGUGGAACUGCAAGUGUAGAGGUGAAAUUCGUAGAUAUUUGCAAGAACACCAGUGGCGAAGGCGGCUUACUGGUCCGUUACUGACGCUGAGAUACGAAAGCGUGGGGAUCAAACAGG
rnacentral:rRNA from 1 species